UACAGAGGUCCCAAGCGUUGUUCGGAUUCACUGGGCGUAAAGGGUGCGUAGGCGGUCGGGUAAGUCUGAUGUGAAAUCUCACAGCUUAACUGUGAAACUGCAUUGGAUACUAUCCGGCUCGAGGAAUGGAGGGGAGACUGGAAUACUUGGUGUAGCAGUGAAGUGCGUAGAUAUCAAGUGGAACACCAGUGGCGAAGGCGAGUCUCUAGACAUUUCCUGACGCUGAGGCACGAAAGCCAGGGGAGCAAACGGG
rnacentral:rRNA from 1 species